GAACGUUUGUGAUGAAUUGUCAUUGAAGUAUGUUGAUAAACAAUAUUAAGUCAAAUAAUAAGCGAUAUAAACGUAUUCAACUACAUUAUAUUCCAUGAUUUGUAUUAAGAAGAAAAAGUGUCCAUUUCCUAUUCUGCCAAAAGGCCGACCAGAAAGCACACACCGAGAUGGAAGCUGUAGCGGGGAUUCUUUGUCUGAUGGACCAUAACAUGAGCUGCAGUCCUCGUCCUCCUCGUCUUCCUCCUCCUCCUCAUCCCCCUCCUCCUCACGGGGCUUCUCGGGCUCGUCGCGGUGGUGGUGAAGCUCGAUGAGCAGGUAGUACAAAACCGCUGCGACCACGCCCCCCACCAUGGGCCCCGCCACUGGGAUCCACCACCAGUAGCCUGCCGUGCUGCACGGAGUGGAAAAUAAUUGUGAGGUGAUACUUUGGCCACAGCGAUGGAAGCACUGUUGGACCAACAAAAACAAUUGACCGUGCCUGGUGAGUGCGCGUGACUUUAUAUAACGAGCCGGUAAGUCUUGAUAGGCAUGUUUCCUAAUCGUUUAUUUCAAUCAAUAUUUUCUCUCGCCAACUACUACCUCACAUGCCGUUGUUGGUUGGUAUUGAAUCCCCUCUUGAUAUGUGCUUUUGAAAAGGCAAGUCAAGUUUACAGUUCACUAUCAAUCAUUUUCAAAUUGAUAUUAUCAUAAAUCAAAGUACAUUUCUAUAUUUUUUUCACUUGUAUGUUUUAUCUAUGCUGUAAAUAGUCCAUAAUGUUUGCACUACAAAAGGAGCUGCUUCAAUCUA